GGAAUAUUGGACAAUGGGGGCAACCCUGAUCCAGCAAUGCCGCGUGUGUGAAGAAGGUCUUCGGAUUGUAAAGCACUUUCGACGGGGACGAUGAUGACGGUACCCGUAGAAGAAGCCCCGGCUAACUUCGUGCCAGCAGCCGCGGUAAUACGAAGGGGGCUAGCGUUGCUCGGAAUGACUGGGCGUAAAGGGCGUGUAGGCGGUUUACACAGUCAGAUGUGAAAUCCCCGGGCUUAACCUGGGAGCUGCAUUUGAUACGUGUAGACUAGAGUGUGAGAGAGGGUUGUGGAAUUCCCAGUGUAGAGGUGAAAUUCGUAGAUAUUGGGAAGAACACCGGUGGCGAAGGCGGCAACCUGGCUCAUGACUGACGCUGAGGCGCGAAAGCGUGGGGAGCAAACAGGAUUAGAUACCCUGGUAGUCCACGCCUGUAAACGAUGUGUGCUAGAUGUUGGGUAACUUUGUUAUUCAGUGUCGCAGUUAACGCGUUAAGCACACCGCCUGGGGAGUACGGCCGCAA
rnacentral:rRNA from 1 species